UACAUGGGGUGCAAACGUUGCUCGGAAUUAUUGGGCGUAAAGAGCUCGUAGGCGGUCUGUCGCGUCGGCUGUGAAAACUCGGGGCUCAACUCCGAGCUUGCAGUCGAUACGGGCAGGCUAGAGUUCGGCAGGGGAGACUGGAAUUCCUGGUGUAGCGGUGAAAUGCGCAGAUAUCAGGAGGAACACCGGUGGCGAAGGCGGGUCUCUGGGCCGAUACUGACGCUGAGGAGCGAAAGCGUGGGGAGCGAACAGG
rnacentral:rRNA from 1 species